UGAGGGGGAUAUUUGGCACAAUGGGCGCAAGCCUGAUGCAGCAACGCCGCGUGAGGGAUGACGGUUUUCGGAUUGUAAACCUCUGUCCUUAGUGACGAAUAAAUGACGGUAGCUAUGGAGGAAGCCACGGCUAACUACGUGCCAGCAGCCGCGGUAAUACGUAGGUGGCAAGCGUUGUCCGGAAUUACUGGGUGUAAAGGGAGCGCAGGCGGGAUAGCAAGUCAGCGGUGAAAUGUAUGGGCUUAACCCAUGAACUGCCGUUGAAACUGUUGUUCUUGAGUGGAGUAGAGGUAAGCGGAAUUCCGAGUGUAGCGGUGAAAUGCUUAGAUA
rnacentral:rRNA from 1 species